rnacentral:lncRNA from 1 species
GGGGGUGCCUUGGGGGGCUGGGGGGGGGGAGGAGGCUCCUGUGCUACCUGAAAGGAAAGAACCUGAUUUCCAUCCCAGUCCUCACACUUCCUGGUGGUGUGACCUGGGACCUGUCACAUCACCUCUUCAAGCUUCUUUUCUUCUGUAAAAUGGGGGCAGCCAACCCAGCUUCAGAGGCGGGCGGGAGAGCUGGACAGAGUGACACCGAGGAGCACAUCUCACGGUCGAGGCUGCGGCUGUCUGGAGCUCCCCGCCUCUGCUGGCGGGCUCUGCGGAGCGGCUGGCAGCCUGUGCUGGGCCACCCCUCGGAAGUGCAAGUCACGCUGCCAGCCUCCGGGAGAUCCAGCUGGAGGGCAGGCCGCGCCUGAAUGUCACCGGAGCACAGGAAGCCGCCUGCAGGCUCCCACCCCUGCCUUCCUCCCGGUGGUGUCUACCUGUCCUCACCGACGUCUUCAGCUGCCUGCUGUGCUCUGGGCAGUGUAUGAAAGACUCUCCAGGCAUCACCUCCCAGGCAUCAAGUCCCCGCUUCAUAAGGAAGAAACAGGUUCCAAAAUUUGAGUGACUUUGAGCCCGUGCCAUGGCUCAUGCCUAUAAUCCCAGCUUCUCUGAAGGCAGAGGCAGGAGGAUCGUGAGUUCAAAGCCAGCCUCGGCAACUCAGUGAGGCCCUGUCUUUAAAAUAAAAUACAUUUUUUUAAAAAAGGGCUGGGGGUGUUGCUCAGUGGUUAAGCACCCCCCCCUCCCCUCGGGUUCAAUUCCUCAUAUUAAAACAAAAAUGCUUUUUUGAAUGAUUUUGCCUUGUAGUUACUAAAUUAAACAGCAAGUCUG